GAUCCUGGCUCAGGAUGAACGCUAGCGACUGGCUUAACACAUGCAAGUCGAGGGCAGCAUAAAAGUAGCAAUACUUGGUGGCGACCGGCGCGACGGGUGGGUAACGCGUAUGCAACCUACCUAUCAGGAGGGGAAUAACCCGGCGAAAGUCGGACUAAUACCGCAUAAAACAGGGGCACCGCAUGGUGAUAUUUGUUAAAGAAAUUCGCUGAUAGAUGGGCAUGCGUUCCAUUAGGUAGUUGGUGAGGUAACGGCUCACCAAGCCGACGAUGGAUAGGGGAACUGAGAGGUUGGUCCCCCACACUGGUACUGAGACACGGACCAGACUCCUACGGGAGGCAGCAGUGAGGAAUAUUGGUCAAUGGGCGAGAGCCUGAACCAGCCAAGUCGCGUGAAGGAAGAAGGAUCUAUGGUUCGUAAACUUCUUUUGCAGGGGAAUAAAGUGCAGGACGUGUCCUGUUUUGUAUGUACCCUGAGAAUAAGGAUCGGCUAACUCCGUGCCAGCCGCCGC
rnacentral:rRNA from 1 species